ACAGAGGGCGCGAGCGUUGUCCGGAAUCACUGGGCGUAAAGGGCGCGUAGGUGGCCACUAUAAGGCCGCGGUGAAAGUUCGGGGCUCAACCCUGAAUCUGCCGCGGCGACUGUAGGGCUUGGGCACUGUAGAGGCAGAUGGAAUUCCGGGUGUAGCGGUGGAAUGCGUAGAGAUCCGGAAGAACACCGGUGGCGAAGGCGGUCUGCUGGGCAGUGGGAGCGCAAGCUCCUCUUAGCCGACACUGAGGCGCGACAGCGUGGGGAGCAAACAGGA
rnacentral:rRNA from 1 species